rnacentral:rRNA from 1 species
AUAUCAUGGCGAAUUUCAGUAAUUAACAGCCCCGCUAAACGAAAAGCACUUAGAGAGUUUGUAGACUCGAUUCGUACUGCCAUCAUAUGUAUUUUAGAGACCAAUCUUGAGCUGGUGGAUCAAUUUUUGAUAAUGCAAUGUCUUGGGCCGGCUUACGAAGGCUUUUUUUACCUUCCUGCCUUGAACACUCGUGGAGGAAUUUAUGUCGCUUGG